GUGAGGUAUAUUGCGCAAUGGAGGCAACUCUGACGCAGCCAUGCCGCGUGCAGGAAGAAGGCGCUACGCGUUGUAAACUGCUUUUAACCGGGAAGAAACCCCAGGACGUGUCCUGGGUUGACGGUACCGGAGGAAUAAGCACCGGCUAACUUCGUGCCAGCAGCCGCGGUAAUACGAAGGGUGCAAGCGUUAUCCGGAUUCAUUGGGUUUAAAGGGUGCGUAGGCGGAGCGUUAAGUCAGUGGUGAAAUCCUGCAGCUUAACUGUAGACUUGCCAUUGAUACUGGCGCUCUUGAGUGCGCUUGAAGUGGGCGGAAUGUGCCGUGUAGCGGUGAAAUGCUUAGAUAUGGCACAGAACACCAAUUGCGAAGGCAGCUCACUAAGGCGAUACUGGCGAUGAGGCACGAAAGCGUGGGGAUCGAACAGGAUUAGAUACCCGAGUAGUCC
rnacentral:rRNA from 1 species